GCCAUAUUGUAUUACAAUGUAAUAUUCGACGUCCUCUUGAGCUUAUCGUCGGCCGAGGGUCGCGUAAGAAGUUAGGACGUGACGAUGCGUACGCCGUCGGAAAAAAAAAUCGUUGUUCGAAAAUAGAUUACUUUGUUUGUAAACAUCGAGUCGACAAAACAUAAGUUGUUUGGGUAAACGUAAGUACUGGACGCGGUGUUCCAUAACGGAGCGCGAUGGAAUAUUUUCGAUUUGCGUAUACUUACGUCGGAUACGAGUUAUACGAACGCUGGAUCAUAGCGUCCUAAA